GGGGCUGUAGCUCAGUUGGUUAGAGCACCUGCUUUGCAAGCAGGGGGUCAGGAGUUCGACUCUCCUCAGCUCCACCA
rnacentral:tRNA from 1 species